AUGAAUGAAGAACGGUGGGUCUCCCUCACUCCAGAAGAAUUUGACCAGCUCCAGAAAUAUUCAGAAUAUUCUUCCAAGAAGAUAAAAGAUGUCUUGGCUGAAUUUAAUGAGGGUGGGAGUCUCAAACAAUAUGACCCACAUGAGCCAAUUAGCUAUGAUGUCUUCAAGUUGUUCAUGAGGGCAUACCUGGAGGUGGACCUUCCUCAGCCACUGAGCACACACCUCUUCCUGACCUUCAGCCAGAAGCCCAAGCAGGACACCCCUGACCACGCCAAGGAGGGAACCAGCAUCAGCGAGGCCAGUGGCCCAGAUUCCAACACACAGAAUGUGGAUAAUGCUGCUAAAGCAGAUGAGGCCUGUGCUCCUGAUAUAGAGUCAAAGAUCGCUGAGAAGCAGGUGACAACUAAAAGCCAAGUGGUUGCAACCUGCCUGGGAAACCCUAUUGCUCAAUCUUCAGGCUCAGAAUCCCCCAUAGUGUACCUGAAGGACAUUGUGUGUUACCUGUCCCUUCUGGAGACAGGGAGACCACAGGAUAAGCUAGAGUUCAUGUUUCGUCUCUACGAUUCAGAUGAGAACGGUCUUCUGGACCAAGUGGAAAUGGAUCGUAUUGUCAACCAAAUGCUGCACAUUGCCCAGUAUUUGGAGUGGGAUCCCACGGAGCUGAGGCCUAUAUUGAAGGAGAUGUUGCAAGGGAUGGACUACGACCGGGACGGCUUUGUGUCUCUACACGAAUGGGUCCAUGGAGGGAUGACCACCAUCCCACUGCUCGUCCUCCUGGGCAUGGACGACUCUGGCUCCACGGGGGAUGGGAGGCAUGCCUGGACCAUGAAGCACUUCAAGAAACCCACCUACUGCAACUUCUGCCACAUCAUGCUGAUGGGCGUUCGGAAGCAGGGCCUGUGCUGCAUUUAUUGUAAAUACACUGUCCACGAGCGCUGUGUAUCCAAAAAUAUUCCUGGGUGUGUCAAAACAUACUCAAAAACUAAAAAGGGAGGCGAGGUGAUGCAGCACGCGUGGGUGGAAGGGAACUCCUCCGCCAAGUGUGACCGGUGCCACAAAAGUAUCAAGUGCUACCAGAGUGUCACUGCGCGGCACUGCGUGUGGUGCCGGAUGACGUUUCACCGCAAAUGUGAAUUAUCAACUUUGUGUGAUGGUGGGGAACUCCGAGACCAUAUUUUGCUGCCCACCUCAAUAUGCCCCGUCGCCCGGGACAGGCAAGGUGGGAAGUCGGAUGGCAGCGUGUCAGCCAAGGGUGAACUUGUGAUGCAGUAUAAGAUCAUCCCCACUCCGGGUACCCACCCCCUGCUGGUCUUGGUGAACCCCAAGAGUGGAGGGAGACAAGGAGAAAGAAUUCUUCGGAAAUUCCAAUAUCUGCUCAACCCCAAACAAGUUUUCAACCUGGACAAUGGGGGGCCUACUCCAGGGUUGAACUUUUUCCGUGAUACACCAGACUUCCGUGUUUUAGCCUGCGGAGGAGAUGGAACAGUUGGCUGGAUUUUGGAUUGCAUUGAUAAGGCCAACUUCGCAAAGCAUCCACCAGUGGCUGUCCUGCCUCUUGGAACAGGAAAUGACCUGGCCCGGUGUCUCCGCUGGGGAGGAGGUUAUGAAGGGGGCAGCCUGACGAAAAUCCUGAAGGACAUCGAGCAGAGCCCCUUGGUGAUGCUGGACCGCUGGCAUCUGGAAGUCAUCCCCAGAGAGGAGGUGGAGAAUGGGGACCAGGUCCCAUACAACAUUAUGAACAACUAUUUCUCCAUUGGUGUGGAUGCUUCCAUUGCCCACAGGUUCCACGUGAUGAGAGAGAAACAUCCUGAAAAAUUCAACAGCAGGAUGAAGAACAAGCUGUGGUACUUUGAAUUUGGUACCUCAGAGACCUUUGCAGCCACCUGCAAGAAACUCCACGACCACAUAGAAUUGGAGUGUGACGGGGUUGGGGUGGACCUGAGCAACAUCUUCCUUGAAGGCAUUGCCAUUCUCAACAUUCCCAGCAUGUACGGUGGCACCAAUCUCUGGGGAGAAACCAAGAAGAACCGGGCUGUGAUCCGGGAAAGCAGGAAGGUCGUCAUUGACCCCAAGGAACUGAAAUUCUGUGUCCAAGACCUCAGUGACCAGCUCCUUGAAGCGGUGGGGCUCGAGGGAGCCAUGGAGAUGGGGCAGAUCUACACUGGCCUGAAGAGUGCGGGCAGAAGGCUGGCCCAGUGCUCCUCUGUCACCAUCAGGACAAACAAGCUGCUGCCAAUGCAAGUGGAUGGAGAGCCCUGGAUGCAGCCACCUUGCACGAUUAAAAUCACCCACAAGAACCAAGCACCCAUGAUGAUGGGACCUCCCCAGAAGAGCAGCUUCUUUUCACUGAGGAGGAAGAGCCGUUCAAAAGACUAAACAAUGUGCCAAACGCCAGUUAAACCAACUGAGAAAAUGAGAAACUGUAACACACACACACACACACACACACACACACACAUUCACACACUCUUCUCUAACCAGUGGAAGCAAAGCCACCCUUCAGGAAGCAACCUUCACCUUGCCAUUCUCUCUUUCAGCAACGGACACACCAAACAGAGCCAGUGCCAAGGGAAUUUUGAAUGUACUUAGGGCCCACCACAGCGUGGCUGGCUCAUGCAGCAACCUCCACAUUCCCAGAAGGCCUCGAGCAGGACUUUCUGAGACUGAAGAAGAAAUUCCCCUUUUUCCCACCAGCCCUGCAAGUUUUCUCAUGAGGCUCACAAGGAGCAGGUUUCCUGCCUAUGGCAAGAUCAGAUGUGGCCAAGGGAAAGUGCUCCCAUUCCAGACCACUCGCACACACAAAGGUCCCUCUGUACAGAGACAAAUGGCCUCCGACUCUGAGCAUAACCCUUGGCAGGGCUCAGCAAGCGCACGUUGGUUUCUUGGUUGUCUUUGAGCAGCAACUUCUCCCUGAACUUGCUGAGGAGGCAGAAAGGCUGUGAGAAGCUGUGUUUCCAUUCUUGGUUCUCCCCACCGUCAGUGGGCACUUGCUCCUUUCCCCAAGCCUUCUCCUGGUGGCGGUAUGCUUGUUCAGAGAUGGCUCCCAAAGCCUCUGAGCCUUCUGCGCAGCACACCUUAGAUGUGUUUAUUUCCUUAGUUCUGUGAACACCUGGGAGGGAAAGCAGAGAAACUGGGAUUUAUUUUCCAAAUUGGUGUCAUAAUAUUGUGUAAAAAGGGAAGGAAAAAAAACACCCCCAGCUUCUUUCUUUUUCAAGCCAAAGUGUGUUUCCUGUUUGAGUUCCAAGCCCUGGUGGCAGACUGUUCCUGAAGGCAGAGAAGAUGGGAAGAAAGGGCCUUUUGCUGAGCAGACCAGGAUACAAACCACCAGGUGAUGCCCUCUGACCUCUUGGCACCUACCACUCCCAGAGUAUGACUUAGAGGCCCUUCUGAUGGUCUGACGUGUGUGUACAUAUAUGUAGCAUAUAUAUUUAUAUUUAUAUAUAAAUAUAAAUAUUUAUUUACUGACGGACUUUUCCUGACUGGAAAAAAAAAUGUAAUACAGGAGCAGAAAGUGGGAAAGAAAAAGAAGGUUCUUACUUCCCCAUUCUACCAUUUCAUUGUCAAGACACAUUUCCCUAUGGUGAUCAUGAGAUUUAAGGGAAAUGAAGUGGCUUCUUAUCAUAAAGAAACUGAGCAUUCCUCUUCUAGAUCCUCAAAACAACCAUAAAAGAUAUCCUGGGCAGGAUUUCUCUCCCAUUUGUCAGAUAAGGAAACUGAGUCUUGGAAAAAUUAAGAGACUCGUCCAUGAUAUCUUGGCUAACGUGGUUUGAGAAUAAGGUCCACUGAGAAGAUAUUUAAUAGGGAAAAGAACACACAUCUUGGAAUAAGGUCAUUUCUGGUCACUGAGAAAUGACUCCAUUUGGAUCCAGAUCGUCAGGGGAGAAUGAAUGCACAGCCCACGUGUGGCUGGGACAUGUCCACUGAGAAAAUGAGGGCCUUAGGAUGCUUCCCUGAGAUUCUCUCUGACCUGACCUGGUGAGAAUUAGGUCUGAGGUUGAAGGUGCCAGACAGAUCAUCAGAUUAAACUCUCCACAUUGUGGCAUGUCAUGGUCAUCAUAGUCUCUUAGUCUGGAAACACCUCUGGCUGUAGGGACAGCCUGAGUGGAGAAUCACAGGGGGACUGAGGCCCUUUCUGCAAGGUGCUGCCAGCCAGUACCCAGAGGGCCUUGGCACCAGUCAGUGAGCUUCAUGCAGCUGGUGCUGGCGUUAGCCUCCUUUCCCGAGGUGAGUCUAUGUAGAGCUUCAUUGGUAGAAAGAAACAUUUGCCUCAGCACCUUUGCUUCCUUGGGACUCCAUCCCCUCCGAGAUUUUCUCCAGAGGAAACCUGGGCCCACUUGACAUUGUUCCACUGAGCUCCCACUAAUCUUGCACUGGGUCAAGAGCUUUGCACAAGGAAGGGAAAAUUAAGAUUGUGCAUACACAUUGAUCUUAACUCUGAAGGAAGCAGUCAUCUAGCACCAACUGGGAUGGAGAUCUAGGACCAUCCUGCUCAACGGACCAGUGCAGAACACUGGGCAAGGGGAAAACCAGACCACCUCAAGAAUAUCCUGAAUGAUGGAAUCCUUGGUGAUGGACCAACUAGCUCCAGAAUGACAGCAGGUACUCUCUUGGAAGCCACUUGAUUCUGAAAUAAAAGCUGGUUCAGACUUAAGGUCACUGAUUUGAAGACAUUUACAGAAGUUUUUGCAUGUGUUUCAACCUUAAUCCUCCAAGAUUGAGACUGUUAAAAUAUGACAGUAGCAACAGGUAAAAUUGGUUCUCAGAGAUUACGAGGCAGAGACUGGCCCCAGCCUGCUCUACUCUAGUGCAUGGGACUUGCAGUGUUGCUUGAGAAAUGUGUCCCAAAUCCUCCUGAAAGCCACAGAGUAUAACAAGCCAGCAGAAAUUUACUUCUGAUUUGGUGACCUCAGUAAGUCUAGUGUUGUUGUUUAACCUGACCUUGCAACUCAUUCCCUAACUACUGUGACUGUGGUUUCUUCUCACAGAGUAUCUCAUCACAGUGGUCCUCACAGCAACUUCUGAGGUUGACAGAGAUUGUAUUAUUAUCCGAAUCUUAAUAAUGAGGAAAAUCAAGUUUAAUGAGGUUUAGUGAAUUCUCAAAAGCAUACAGUUAAGCAGUGAGGGGAGAAUUCAGUUCCUAUAUCUCAUCUUCUGCUAAUUCUGACCAUGCCAUAGACAUGUUCCCAUUUGUCCCAAUGGUUCUACCCCACUAGCUACAGAAAGAAUGAAGCAGGAAACUUCAGUGCAUCAUGUCGUGCCUGGGCUAAUGAGCUAGGAGUGGCAUCUCAUAUGACUUGAUCUUUGUGGGUUUCCUCUAGUAAAUUGAGAAUGGAGAUAGACUUAGUAAAAUUAUUAUAUUUUGGGUCAGAGACCAGCUCUUCUCAAGAGAGUUCUUUCUACAGAUGGAAAAGAUAUGUUAAAAUUGCCAAAUAAAUUAGGAAAUACUUGGCAGAAUCUGGAAGAUACUCCAGACUGGCGUUACAUAACAUGCAUAUACAUUAUACAUAUGCACGUUAUAUAAGGUGACAUAGUACUUAAUGUGCUGUAUAUAUUAUGUAAAUUACAUAUUUGUGAGUAAUCAUGAUAAAUAUAGAGACCCACUAAUCACUUUUUUACACAUCCUCAGUGACAGAUUAGGAAGUUACUUUGCCAGAGAGUCUUAAAACUUACUCUCUCCUGCUGCUUUGGUUCCAAUUCCUGCCAAAAAUAAUUGCAUCAACUUUUCCCAUCUCUAACCCCCUCUCCUCUUGGCCAAAACCCUCAGUUACCUCCUGUCCCAGUGAGGCUGUACCUUCCAUGGAACACUCCCACAACUGGGAUCCACAAAAAUAGAAUCAUGAGCAUGGGAAGGAUCUAGUCUCCUGGAUUCCUUGUCACAGCACACACCUCAACACUCCCAGGCAGGUGGGUACCUAAUGCUAAUAUGAAAAGGAAAGAGGAAGAAGGGAGGGAGAAGGAGUCUACCAGCCCUCCAAAGAAGGGAAUUUCAUAGUGUUUCUUGACCACCGCUUCCCAGAUCCAAAAACAACCAGUCAGGAAGUAUUUCAAGUGCUUGGUCUAAGUCUCCACAGCAUAUCUGAAACCAUAAUUUCCUAAAAUGUGUUUCAUAAUAACUGGUAUCCAUAAAAUGCUCCAUGCAAAGAGUUCUGUGACCAAGUACUAGAUCCCCUUCUAGGAGAUACAAAGAGAGCCUUACCUCUAAGAAUGCACAGUAAAUAACCAUAAAGUCCUUUAUCUGUCUGUCAGCAUCUAUAGAUUAGAAACACUGCCUUAAGCCCACUAUUUCUUCUUCUUCUCAGUGAAAUGGGAACAUACAAGUAACCAUCCUCAACAGUAAUAUUCCAAAAAGUACUUUUCUAGGACAAAGAGUCUCCAUUCAUAAGACACUCUUUCUGGUUUCCUCAAUGUGAUUGUUUAACUACUGCUAUUAUUCCACUCUAAAUGUUUUCAAGCAAGAAUCAAGGAUCUGGAUUCUUUGUCCUCCUAAUGGAGAAAAAUUAAGGGAAAAACAUGAUAGCUAUCAGGGGUCAAACUUCAUCUGCAUAGCUCUAGAGACCAGAACUAGUCUAUAGAACAGUCACCUGCUCUUGUAGGAAAAAUCUUGGCCUGGUUAGGUAGGAAACAAGGAGUGGUUCAUCUGCCUUGUUCAAAAGUGUCCCUUGUUAAGUGAAAGAGUGAAAAAUGACUCCCAGAGAGAUUUCUGGAUCAUUGGGUACUGACUGGUUAGACCACACCUACACAGGGCAGGAUUAACCAGAUUCACUGGCAUCCUCAGUGGAAACUAGUGCUGGUGAUCUCUCCUCAGUAGCUUGGAGAAUUAAAGGAAUGAGCUACAGUAUUAAGAACAAAAGAGACUUUGUAUUUCCAGUGGGAUCCAUAUUAGUGGUUUGGAAUUCCUAUCCUGUCACAAAUACCAGACCUGCAUCUGACUUGCAAUAGCAAGGAAAAAGAAACUGUCCCACAUCUCAAAUAUCAAUCAAGUUUGGAUAAAAUAAGAGCCGAAUUGCAUAAAAUUUCACAUGGAGCCAUUGAUUUUAGCUCGCCUUGAUGUUUCAUCAUACUGGAGGACAUCUUUCAACUUUCUCCUAUAGAGAGAAAACAGGGAAGGGAGAUCAGAAAGGGAGUUCCCAUUUAUUGCUAAUUGGGUGCAAGGCACCGUGUCAAGGUCUCUUCCUGUGCUAACCCAUUUCAUCUUCAAAAUGGCCUAUGAUAUGGGCAUUGUACUUGUUUCACAGAUAAAGAAAUUACUGCAUAGAAAGGUAAAGUACAUUGUCCAACAUCAAACAGAUAGCAGGUAGCCAGGCUAAGACUUGACAUGGGUCUGUCACACAUCAGAAUUUAUGCUUUUUAUACUAUAUUUUAGUGCCUCUAACAUUCUCAUCUGUUUCCAACCCUACUAUCAUCCUAUGUGUGAUUACACAACAUUGGCAAAUUGAUAACCUACCUGGUCAACCUCUGGACAGCCAUCUAGUCAUAUUCCUACUGAAGACCUUCCAGUGCUUGUUCACAUUUAAACUCAACAGCCUCAGUGGACAGCUGGAACCCAAAACCUCACCCUUGCAAUCAGAUUGGCAGCCAUCCCUUAAUCCUCAAUGUUUCAGAUUCUAGCUCAAUGGAACUCAUUUCCCAGGGCUACCUAAUAGAUUUUCUAUUCAACUCUGUGAGUGGGAGAACAGUAAGCAGCCUUCUCAGACUUAAAUGCCAUGGUCAACAGUGACUGGCCUCCAUGGGGAAGGAGGGCGAGGGUUGUUGAGGGAGCCUCCAGCAAGAAGGCUCUGCAUGUGAUCCUCAUUAGUGGUAGGCGUGGGAUGGGCCAUCUGUGUUCCACAGGAGAACAGAAUGGCAGGCUGCCUUUCAGAUGCCAAGAGAUGCUGUCUAAUAGGAAGAUCCAAAGAGCUCAAACAGCAGAGAGACAUCUUUCCUCAUGAGCAUUUCUGUAGGAAACCAGGGGCACAGAAAACCAAGGAUUUUUGGAAGUAAGCUGCUAAACUUGCUGGGCAUUCUUACCCUUGUUACUACUUCAUUCUUCAUGUCCAAGGUGUAGGGUGGCAAACAGAGCUCUAGAGCCUCAGCUGCUAGUUAAGCUCCCUUAGAUGGAGCCCACGAUGAAGCUCUGUUACCCUGAAAUCUGUAGAUGGAAUGGCAGGUGCAAUAUAGCAAGACACCAGAGUUUGCAAUUAAUCCUCCAAGUUUCCCAGGGGUCAGGAAACACUGUGGGUAAGAGAGACAAUUUAAUUGGAUGCUCAAAGAAGAUUCUAGAGAAAUAAUCAGAACACAUGGAAGACUACUCUAAAUGGGUCAAAUUAGGAAAAUGAAAUUUGGAAGCAAAGAGGAUAACAUCUAGCCUGGUAUUGAACAUAUAGUAAGUAAUAAGCAAAUACUUUUAAAUUAAUGAAUAGCUAAAGUGGGUAUCUGUCCUUCUACCCUGGAAUGGGUAGGGGAAGGCGGGGUAGAGGGGAUGAAAGCUUUUAACUAACAGCUCAGGAACUUGAAACCACAGGAUGUAGAGGGAGCUCAUGGGGGCCUUUAACUACCCAGACAUCUGUUGAGUGAUGGAUGAGCUAAAUAUGGAUCAUCAAAGGGCUUUCUAGGUCACAUGGAGGGCAGCUUCAUGAUGCAGAAAAUAUGAAAUUCAACUUGGACAGAAAGACAGAAAUAUUUGCAAUCUACUUCUUAGGAAUCAGGUCAGAAUUGACAAAGAAUAAAAAAGGCAGCACAGAAGUGGAGUGACAACACAGUAAGAGAGCAGCAUAAUAAGAUACAGAUCCAUGAGAUGAAAAGACUUAGAGAACUGGCUUUGUUAGCAAAUUUAUAUGGGCAACGGAGAUAAGCAUGAACGCUACAGUCUAAAAAUGGAAGAAAAGACUAAGAAAUCCUUUUUUUUUUAUAAUCUUAAAGUUGAGUAAAUGAGGAAAUGUCCAGGCAUUAAUGAAAUUGUUAUUAAAUAACUAUCAUUUAUGAUCUGGUCCAAAGCCUAUUGCUUAUAUGACCACCUUCAAACUUCACAAGAACCCUGUGAAAUUGGUGCUAUAUAAUUCCCCAUUGACAAGUGAAGAAACUGAGAAACAGAGCAAAUCUCAUAGCAGGAGAUCCAGAAUUCAUAUCUGUCAGUAUCUGCCCUCAAAGUCCCUAUUUGUGCCUGCAGGGCCAUCCAUGAUUCCUCAGAGCUUCAAGCAUGGUGACUGGGAUUUAAUACCCAAAGCCAAUCCCCUCUGCACCACUUACUGACUUCCUUCUCGAACUGGAAGUCCAGGUCCCUCUCCUCCCCCUGCCCCACAGCUGGAGUGGGGAGCAGCUUUCCUCUGUCUGGGCACAGAAGCCCACUGAGGAAAGGAAGCCGAGAGGUAUGUACACCUCACCCACCUCUCUUCUUCUUAGGUCCUCUGGCCCAGACACCAGCUAAGGCCACCUCCUAAGACACAAUUCAGAGAACAGACAGCUAACAAGGAACACGUGGUGAAGAACACAACCAGCUCAGAGUAUUCACAUAAUGUUAAAGGUCAUAAUAAAAGAUAGACAAAAACCAUAUUAAAGAUCAGGAGCAAGUGAAAUGAGGUCAGGUAGUCAAACAUCAGAAUUUAGUAACUAAUGUCUAAAGGUGGAACAGAGAUUCAAAAUACCUUUAAAAAUCUGUGAGGUAAAUCGUAAUUUGGGAUAAAAAGACUGCUUCUAGAAUGAUGAAAAAUAUUUUCUUUCCAAACAAAAAAUCCUUUUUAAAAUGAAAUCUUAGCAAGAACUACAAGGUGAGGGAUAAUAAAAUGGUAAUUUAUUUGGAAAUGAAAUUUAAAACCCGUCUAAAUAAGCAGCAAUCCAGAAGAAGAUUCCAGAAAGUCUGCAUUUUCUGUUGGACUAAACAGCAGUACUUUCAAAGUAAUUAAUGAACUUACUUUUUUUUGUCUCUUUUACUUUUUUUAAGAAAACUGGUACCAGUUGGUUACCAGAAAAUGGCAUGAUCUUCAAGAAAAGAAAAUUUUCCUGGUGAAUAUUUCCUUUCUUCCCAACAUCCUAGAGGUAAAAGGAUUGAGAAUUAGAUCUUUUAACUCAAAGAACCACAUGUGCAUGGAAAACUUUGAAAACCAUACAUGCAUGGAGGAUAUUAAAAACAGAGGAUGUCAUUGAACUUCUGUUUGGGGUUUGCAAUCAUCAUACUCUGCUACCACCAGGCAUAAAGAUGGCAGGAGGCAGGAGACCCACCUAAAGAGAAGAGGGUCCUACAGCAAGUUGCUGAACUGGCUUAUAGCACAGUUGCCCUCUUCCAUAGAAUGGGAAGGAGUAAACUUUUGGGCAUCUCUGUACCAUCAUCUUCAACACUCGG